rnacentral:tRNA from 1 species
GCCCUCGUGGUGGAAUAGGUAGACACAACGGACUUAAAAUCCGUCGGCACGUUAGCCAUGCCAGUUCGAGUCUGGCCGAGGGCACCA